rnacentral:rRNA from 1 species
CGUGGCGGCGUGGAUUAGGCAUGCAAGUCGUGCGAGAAAGGGCUUCGGCCCCGGUAAAGCGGCGCACGGGUGAGUAACACGUAGGUCAUCUCCCCUCGAGUGGUGGAUAACCCUCCGAAAGGAGGACUAAUACAGCAUGAGACCACGACCUCGCUGAGGUUGCGGCCAAAGCAGGCCACUACAUGUAAGCUUGCGCUUGAGGAUGAGCCUGCGGCCCAUCAGCUAGUUGGUAGGGUAAUGGCCUACCAAGGCUUAGACGGGUAGCUGGUCUGAGAGGGUGAUCGGCCACACUGGAACUGAGGCACGGUCCAGACUCCUACGGGAGGCAGCAGUGGGGAAUUUUGCGCAAUGGGCUAACGCCUGACGCAGCAACGCCGCGUGGAGGAUGAAGGUCUUUGGAUUGUAAACUCCUGUCAGCAGGGAAAAAGCGACCUGACCUCAUACGUCAGGGAGUUGAUUGUACCUGCAGAGGAAGCCCCGGCUAACUCUGUGCCAGCCGCCGCGGUAAUAC